CAGCCGCCGCGGGAAUACGAGGGGGGCAAGCGUUGUUCGGAAUUAUUGGGCGUAAAGGGUGCGUAGGCGGUUUGGCAAGUUUGGUGUGAAAUCUUCGGGCUCAACUCGAAGUCUGCAUCGAAAACUGCCGGGCUUGAGUAUGGGAGAGGUGAGUGGAAUUUCCGGUGUAGCGGUGAAAUGCGUAGAUAUCGGAAGGAACACCUGUGGCGAAAGCGGCUCACUGGACCAUAACUGACGCUGAUGCACGAAAGCUAGGGGAGCAAACAGGAUUAGAUACCCGCGUAGUCCCUGUCUCUUAUAC
rnacentral:rRNA from 1 species